rnacentral:rRNA from 1 species
UACGUAGGGUGCGAGCGUUAAUCGGAAUUACUGGGCGUAAAGCGUGCGCAGGCGGUUCGUUGUGUCUGUGGUGAAAGCCCCGGGCUUAACCUGGGAAUGGCCAUGGAAACUGGCGAGCUGGAGUGUGGCAGAGGGGGGUGGAAUUCCGCGUGUAGCAGUGAAAUGCGUAGAGAUGCGGAGGAACACCGAUGGCGAAGGCAGCCCCCUGGGCCAACACUGACGCUCAUGCACGAAAGCGUGGGGAGCAAACAGG